rnacentral:rRNA from 1 species
AUGAACCGGCAAUGGAUGUACGGUGACAGACACACCUCCGAGUACAUUAAGGGCGUGCAUGAGUUUCUCAAUGCGGCUGAGGCAAACAAGCAGAAUGGUUUUAUGUGUUGUCCAUGCACUGAAUGUGGGAAUACGAGGUCUUACUCUAACCGGAAAAUCCUUCACUCCCACCUGCUUUACAAGGGUUUCAUGCCACACUAUAAUGUUUGGACGAGGCACGGAGAAAUAGGGGUUAUGAUGGAAGACGGCGAAGAAGAAGAGUACGAUGACAACUAUGUGCCCCCUGAAUACGGUGAUGCUACAACGGGGGGAGCUGGUGAAGAUGAAGAGGAACCAGACGAUGUGCCCAAUGAUGCUGCAACGGGUGAAGCUGCUAAAGAUCAAAAGGAACCAGACGAUGUGCCCGAUGAUGAUAAUCUCCGCUGGGUCAUUAUCGAUGCAAGGACGCAAUGCGAAAGUCAAAAGGAGAAGCUGAAGUUCGAUCGCAUGUUAGAGGAUCACAAAAAAGGGUUGUACCCCAAUUGCGAAGAUGGCAACACAAAGCUCGGUACCGUACUGGAAUUGCUGCAGUGGAAGGCAGAGAAUGUUGUGGCUGACAAAGGAUUUGAGAAGUUACUGAAAAUAUUGAAGAAGAAGCUUCCAAAGGAUAACGAAUUGCCCGACAGUACAUACGCAACAAAGAAGGUCGUAUGCCCUCUAGGAUUGGAGGUGGAGAAGAUACAUGCAUGCCCUAAUGACUGCAUCCUCUACCGCGGUGCAUACAAGGAUCUGAAUGCAUGCCCGGUAUGCGGUGCAUUGCGGUAUAAGAUCAGAUGA